UUGUAUUUUUUGUUUCAAAAUAUAUUUUGAAAAUGAUAAAAUCUUUUUUUAUGUAUUUAAUGCUAUAAAAUAAGCAUAUACCUUUUCUGUUUGGGCCUUCUUAUUUGGAUUGCAACAGAUUUCUCCCAUCAUUCAGUUCUCUUCAUUCACCCUUCAGUUCAAAUGCCAUGUCCACUGGGACUCACAACUCCUGAAACCUUAAGUGCCAGUGAAGGGACAAGGCCCCUCCUUCUCAGGACACCUUGGUAGAAGCAUGCUGCUGUGAUCAUUUGUUUACGUAUGUGCCUCUUCUCCCCAGGAAGUGGGGAGCCCUCUCUAGGGAGGAGCCCAAUUCAUUUAUCUUUGUAUCCUUAGCUCUGCACAUGGCCCUUUGCAGAACAAGUAUUCAUACAUGGUUGUUGAAUGAAUGAAAUCACAAAUAAAGGAUGGUUUCUAGAUCUUUCUGUAUCCUAGUAGCCUUCCUUUAAAUACAAGUUGGAAUGUUGGAGUCCCUUGAAAAUGGAGACAGAAGUUCAUCUUGGCUUAAUUGCAUCCACGCAACCUCCAACACCUUCAACUCAGUUCCCUUAGUACUUAUUACUUAGUACUUUUGCACUUUUCUGGCCUCAUGCUGACCUUUAAGCUACUUGGGACUCAAGAGUCUUUCAUGGGCCCUCUACAACUUCCAGGAGUCACCUUGAAGCACCUUGUCUGCUCUAUUAAGUAGGAACAUCCCAGGAAAUCUAAAUAGCAGGUGCAUUCAACAGUGAUUUUCUAGAGGUGUUGCUUUCACCUUUUAUUUACAAUACAGGCAAAGUGGACAGCGAGAGAGAGACAGAGAGAAACGUCUUCCUUUGCCAUUGGUUCACCCUCCAAUGGCUGCCACGGCCGGCGCACCACGCCGAUCCGAAGGCAGGAGCCAGGUGCUUAUCCUGGUCUCCCGUGGGAUGCAGGACCCAAGGACUUGGGCCAUCCUCCACCGCACUCCCUGGCCACAGCAGAGAGCUGGCCUGGAAGAGGGGCAACCGGGACAGAACCCGGAGCCCUGACCGGGACUAGUACCUGGGGUGCCGGCACCACAAGGUGGAGGAUUAGCCUAUUGAGCCGUGGCGCCGGCCAAAAUGUGGUUUAAUAUAUGUCUUUGGAGUGAAAUUUUAAAGUUGAAGAUGAACAUAGAGAAUGCUUUUAUUGAGAGUUCCCCUAGGAAAUAAAACUCAUGAACUACUUCACUGCUUUUACCUAUCUUGACCUUAAUGCAGGAGGCUGGCAGGGCAUUUCUGGGUUUAGCAACUUUUAAUUUUCUUAUUAUUGCUUUUUUAAUGGAAGACUUGUGGACCUAUGGACAGGUCUGAUUCAGUCAUUCAGUGUUUGACUAGAGUUUAAUUGGCAUGGGCAAAAAUAAAACUGCAUGCCACUGCUUCUGCAUAUUGUUUUUUAUUUUGUUUUUUUAAAAAUUUACUUAUUUAUUUGAAAGUUAGAGUCACACACAGAGAGAAGGAGAGGCAGAGAGAGAGAGAGAGAGAAAGAGAAAGAGAAAGGUCUUCUAUCUGAUAGUUCACUCCCCAGUUGGCCACAACAGCCGGAGCUGUGCCAGUCUGAAGUCAGGGGCCAGGAGCUUCCUCUGGGUCUUCCCAUGAGGGUGCAGUGGUGCAAGGACUUGGGCCAUCUUCUACUGCUUUCCCAGGCCAUAGCAGAGGUGGAUUUGAAGUGGAAUAGCCUGGACAUGAACCGGCGCACAUAUGGGAUGCUGGCACUGGAGGCGGUUCUAUAGAAGUGUCUUGAGUUCACAAACUUGGGACAUUAUUUAGACAAGGCCAUAAUUGAAGUGGAAGUUCUCUCCUCCCUUUAGAGAAAGGUACCUCCUUCUUUGAUGGCCCCUUCUUUCCGCUGGGAUUUCACUCACAAAGAUCUUUCAUAUAGGUCAUUUUUUGCCACAGUGUCUUGGCUUCAUGCCUGAAAUACUCUCAAGGGCUUUUUAGCCAGAUCUGAAUGCCUUAAGCGCUGAUUCUGAGGCCAGAGCACUGUUCAGGGCAUUUGUCGUUCUAUGAGUCUGCUGUUUAUCCUGCUUCCCAUGUUGGAUCAUUCUCUCCUUUUUAAUUCUAUUAUGAUUAGCAGACACUUGUUCUUUAUGUGAUCCCUUUGACACUUAAUCCUAUCUUUAUGAUCAGUUAUAAACUUAAACUGAUCACUUUAACUAGUAAGAUGGCAUUGGUACCUGCCAACUUUAUGGGAUUUGGAGUCCCAUGGCAAAUUUUUAACUCUACCCUUAGGGGUAAGUCUGAGGGAACGUGUGCUGAACUGUACAUCUCCUCCCUCUCUUAUUCCCACUCUUUAUUUAUUUAUUUAUUUAUUUGGACAGGCAGAGUUAGACAGUG